UCUUCCUUUCCUCGAUUUGCCGUCAGAAAAAAAACAACCGGCGAACUCAAUCGUAAUUGAUUUCUAGGCGUGCCCCUGAUCGUCGGAUCAACCAUUGAACCUAGUUUAGGAGUGUUUUGUGUGAAUCGGAGAGAGGGAGGGAAUGAACGGUGACGAUGAGGAGAUGGUCGCAGCUUCGGUAGAUCCAUAUCUGCCUCUAGAAUGGAGAUUCUCUCAGGUCUUCGGUGAACGCAGCGCUGGUGAAGAAGUUCAAGAAGGUUAAACUCAUCGAUCUAAUCUCUGAAAUUGGAAUUAAGGCAUCUUUGAUCUAUUUUUAAUCAAAGUUUUGAUUCCCUUUUUUUUUUUUUUUUUUGAGGAGAGGAUGUGACUAGAUUUGUUUUUUUUUUUCUUUCUUUGGUCAAGUUUUGUAAUUGUUAAUUAUGCUUAAUGGCUUAUUAUGUAUGCUUGUAGCUGAGCUUGUGACUAGAUUACAUUGUAUUGUUUUCAUUAUGUAUGUUGAAAUCCUCAAAACUGGAAGCUUGUGUGUUCCUCCGCAGUUGAUGUGAUUUCAGCAAUCGAGUUUGAUCAUUACGGCGACCAUCUUGCUACUGGGGACCGUGGAGGACGUGUUGUUCUCUUUGAGAGGAGCGAUGUCAGAAAUGUAACUUCCCCACCUUUUUUAUUUUUUUUUGCCUUUGCGAAGCAUAUCUGAAAAAAUGGGAAUUUGACAUUUGGUUAUAUGUUGUUGCAUGCUAUUAUCAUUUACAGAGCAGUGGAGGAGCUAGAAGGGAUCUUGAAGAAACUGAUCACCACCCACUGAGGCAUCCGGAGUUCCGUUAUAAAACAGAGUUUCAGAGUCAUGACCCUGAGGUAUGAUGAUUCAUUACUCUCUUCUCCUAAUACGUUGUGUGCUAUACCUUUUUUUUAUUUUCUGUCUUUUCAUAUGUGAUCCUUGUCUACCAGUUUGAUUAUCUCAAGAGUUUGGAGAUAGAGGAGAAGAUCAACAAAAUUAGAUGGUGUCAAACAGCCAAUGGCGCUCUUUUUCUCCUUUCCACAAACGAUAAAACCAUCAAGUAUUGGAAGGUGAGAACAUCCUUUAUUUAUCGUGUCUGUUGCUUCUCGAUAUUUAGGGUGUACAACGAUUAAGCUGAUACCUUAAUGCUCAUUGACAAUAUUGUUUGUUGGGUUGCGUACUGUAUCUAAAUGGUUCUAAGUCGUGAAUGUUGUAAAGAAUUUUUCUUUGUGUGUUAUAUUUUUUUUCUAUCUAUAAACAGUUGAGAUGUGUAUGUAGAGGUGAAAUCUUUUCUUUUUCUUUACUCAUGUGAGUGUUAACAGGUUCAAGACAAGAAGAUGAAGAAAGUUUGUGAAGUAAAUUCAGAUCCUUCAAAAACUGGAGCGCUCGCAAGCUCUAGCAAUCCAAGCAUUACAACCGCGUGCCUUGGGAACGGAGGAGUAAUCUCAUCGCUGCGGUUCCCAGUGGUAAAUAAAUAAAUGCAUUCUGAAUGAUCAAAUUUGCUCGAAUUUUACAGUUCAUUGAUGCUAGACUUGUGCUUCUUAGCUCUAAUCUCCCGUGCUCUUCUGAUUUGGAAUUGGUUCUCAAAGUUUCUUGAUACUACUACUACUCGUCUGUAGACUAAAAGUUCAAUUUUGGCUUAUACAGGUAACUAGCCAUGAGUCGAGCCCUGUGGCUAGAUGUCGGAGAGUCUAUUCUCAUGCCCAUGAUUAUCACAUCAAUUCCAUCUCAAAUAACAGGUACCUUAUUCAUAUAAUCAAUCAUAUUAACCCUUUUUGAUUUUGAUUUUGAUUAUUAUUUUUUGCUUUUUUUCCCUGUGAGAAAUUUUUUAUGAUGUCAUUGUAAAAGUUUCUUCUCUAUUUAAAUCAGCGACGGAGAAACAUUUAUUUCGGCUGAUGAUUUGCGAAUAAAUCUUUGGAAUCUGGAGAUUAGCAAUCAGAGUUUCAAUAUCGUUGAUGUCAAGCCUGAGAAAAUGGAAGAUCUAUCUGGUAAAGCCCUGCGUAACUGCUGCUCUUUCACUCCAAUAAGCAAUAGGAUGCUAAUACGGCAAUGGUUCUUGCAGAGGUUAUCACAUCAGCAGAGUUUCAUCCUACUCAUUGCAAUAUGUUAGCUUAUAGCAGUUCCAAAGGCUCUAUUCGCCUGCUUGAUCUGCGCCAAUCAGCUUUAUGUGAUUCACAUUCCAAAUUGUAAGUCUUGAGACUUUGCAAUUCUGUUUAAGUUUGUUUCAUCAAAAUAUCUCUCGCACCUCCUUUCUUUGGAAUAUAAACACUGAAGCUAACAUUGCGUGUUUCUGCAGGUUUGAGGAACCAGAGGCAGCAGGUCCUAAGUCGUUCUUCACUGAGAUAAUUGCUUCAGUGUCAGACAUCAAAUUUGCAAAAGAAGGAAGAUAUCUCCUUAGCCGUGACUACAUGACACUCAAGGUCCAUACACUUUCAUUGGCAUUAGAUAUAACUAUGCCCUUAAAGCUAUCAGUGGCUGGUUUCUAAUUCUUCUCGUAAGAUAAACUGAACUUAUAGUUAUGUUUUCUCCUUGUCAGUUAUGGGACAUCAACAUGGAUUCAGGUCCGGUAUCAACUUUCCAGGUUCAUGAGUAUCUGAAACCGAAGGUAAGUUUCCUAUACUUUUGAGUGAACUGCUUUUGUCCAACUGGUGCGUAGCUGAUUGGUACUCCAUUUCCCUUGGCCAAUAUCAGCUCUGUGAUUUAUAUGAAAAUGAUUCCAUCUUUGACAAGUUUGAGUGUUGCAUAAGUGGCAAUGGACUGCGAGCAGCUACAGGUUCUUACAGGUAUAUGCCCCGGAAAGCAGAGCAUGUUUCUUUGUUAUUAGCAUUAUCAUCUAUACUCAUUCCUUCCGCUCGCUCACAUUGCUCUAUCCAGCAAUAUGUUCCGUGUGUUUGGUGUUUCCCCCGGAAGUACCGAGUCUGCAACUUUAGAAGCAAGCAGGAAUCCUAUGAGGUAAAAGCUAUUAAGAGUUAGUGUACUCGAUCUUAUCUUCCUUACCUUUUUUUUGUGGUUUUAUCAUAGGAGACAUGUCCCAGUUCCCUCGAGGCCAUCCAGACUAGGCAGUAUAGCGCGUGUUGUAGGUAGAGGUCAGUCUCUCUCUCUCUCUCCCUCUCCCUUUCUCAUUUAAGCUACCUUUUAAGAUCAAAUUAGUAAGUAAAUACACUGAAAUGGUGAAAGCAGGAUCAGAGAGUGCAGGAGGAGUCGAUGGGAGUAGCAAUGCUCUUGAUUACAAAACAAAGUUGCUGCAUCUUGCUUGGCAUCCAAAUGAGAACUCUAUUGCUUGUGCCGCUGGAAAUAGCUUGUACAUGUACUAUGCUUAACCACAUUACUCAGCCUGUGAUCUUAUUUGUUUGUCGAAAUCUGGGAAUCAUCUCAUACUCUCUCCUCUUCCUUUCCUCGAUUUGCCGUCAGAAAAAAAACAACCGGCGAACUCAAUCGUAAUUGAUUUCUAGGCGUGCCCCUGAUCGUCGGAUCAACCAUUGAACCUAGUUUAGGAGUGUUUUGUGUGAAUCGGAGAGAGGGAGGGAAUGAACGGUGACGAUGAGGAGAUGGUCGCAGCUUCGGUAGAUCCAUAUCUGCCUCUAGAAUGGAGAUUCUCUCAGGU
rnacentral:lncRNA from 1 species